AGAGUUUGAUCCUGGCUCAGGACGAACGCUGGCGGCGUGCUUAACACAUGCAAGUCGAACGGUGACGAGGAGCUUGCUCCUCUGAUCAGUGGCGAACGGGUGAGUAACACGUGAGCAACCUGCCCCAGACUCUGGGAUAACAGUUGGAAACAGCUGCUAAUACCGGAUACGAGACGGAGAGGCAUCUCUACCGUCUGGAAAGUUUUUCGGUCUGGGAUGGACUCGCGGCCUAUCAGCUAGUUGGUGAGGUAAUGGCUCACCAAGGCGACGACGGGUAGCCGGCCUGAGAGGGCGACCGGCCACACUGGGACUGAGACACGGCCCAGACUCCUACGGGAGGCAGCAGUGGGGAAUAUUGCACAAUGGGCGAAAGCCUGAUGCAGCGACGCCGCGUGAGGGAUGACGGCCUUCGGGUUGUAAACCUCUUUCAGCAGGGAAGAAGCGAAUGUGACGGUACCUGCAGAAGAAGCACCGGCUAACUACGUGCCAGCAGCCGCGGUAAUACGUAGGGUGCGAGCGUUGUCCGGAAUUAUUGGGCGUAAAGAGCUUGUAGGCGGUUUGUCGCGUCUGCAGUGAAAAUCCGAGGCUCAACCUCGGACUUGCUGUGGGUACGGGCAGACUAGAGUAUGGUAGGGGAGACCGGAAUUCCUGGUGUAGCGGUGGAAUGCGCAGAUAUCAGGAGGAACACCGAUGGCGAAGGCAGGUCUCUGGGCCAUAACUGACGCUGAGAAGCGAAAGCAUGGGGAGUGAACAGGAUUAGAUACCCUGGUAGUCCAUGCCGUAAACGUUGGGCGCUAGGUGUGGGGCUCAUUCCACGAGCUCCGUGCCGCAGCUAACGCAUUAAGCGCCCCGCCUGGGGAGUACGGCCGCAAGGCUAAAACUCAAAGGAAUUGACGGGGGCCCGCACAAGCGGCGGAGCAUGCGGAUUAAUUCGAUGCAACGCGAAGAACCUUACCAAGGCUUGACAUAUACCGGAAACAUCCAGAGAUGGGUGCCCCGCAAGGUCGGUAUACAGGUGGUGCAUGGUUGUCGUCAGCUCGUGUCGUGAGAUGUUGGGUUAAGUCCCGCAACGAGCGCAACCCUCGUUCUAUGUUGCCAGCGCGUAAUGGCGGGGACUCAUAGGAGACUGCCGGGGUCAACUCGGAGGAAGGUGGGGAUGACGUCAAAUCAUCAUGCCCCUUAUGUCUUGGGCUUCACGCAUGCUGCAAUGGCCGGUACAAAGGGCUGCGAUACCGCGAGGUGGAGCGAAUCCCAAAAAAAACCGGUCUCAGUUCGGAUUGGGGUCUGCAACUCGACCCCAUGAAGUCGGAGUCGCUAGUAAUCGCAGAUCAGCAACGCUGCGGUGAAUACGUUCCCGGGCCUUGUACACACCGCCCGUCAAGUCACGAAAGUCGGUAACACCCGAAGCCGGUGGCCCAACCCUUGUGGAGGGAGCCGUCGAAGGUGGGACUGGCGAUUGGGACUAAGUCGAAACAAGGUA
rnacentral:rRNA from 1 species